CGAGAAAGUGGAGCAAUCCAUGAGUAAAGUGGCGCACGGGUGAGUAACACGUGACUAACCUACCCUUGAGUGGGGGAUAACCUAGGGAAACCUGGGCUAAUACCGCAUAAUACCGAGAGGUCAAAGGAGCAAUUCGCUUAAGGAGGGGGUCGCGGCCGAUUAGUUAGUUGGCGGGGUAAUGGCCCACCAAGACUGUGAUCGGUAUCCGGCCUGAGAGGGCGCACGGACACACUGGAACUGAAACACGGUCCAGACUCCUACGGGAGGCAGCAGUGGGGAAUUUUGCGCAAUGGGGGAAACCCUGACGCAGCAACGCCGCGUGGAGGAUGAAGCCCCUUGGGGCGUAAACUCCUUUCGAUCGGGACGAUUAUGACGGUACCGGAAGAAGAAGCCCCGGCUAACUUCGUGCCAGCAGCCGCGGUAAUACGAGGGGGGCGAGCGUUGUUCGGAAUUAUUGGGCGUAAAGGGUGCGUAGGCGGUUCAGUAAGUCUUGUGUGAAAUCUUCGGGCUCAACUCGAAGUCUGCAUGAGAAACUGCUGGGCUUGAGUAUGG
rnacentral:rRNA from 1 species